CCUUUCAGGCACCACAAAGAAGGAGAGCCUGCUUCUAGGCUCAACUUAGCUGGAGAAGGUACGGAGAUGAGCUCAAACAUCAUUCGGAAGCAGAAGAUCCUUCCACAGGAUAUUCUUGCUAAGGUUAAAGAACAGGAAGAACAAAUUGCUCGUUUAAGAGUGCAACUUGUUGACUACUCAGUGAAGGAAUCCCAAAUACUUAAUGACAAACUUGUUUUGGAAAAACGCAUUGCGCAUAUGCGAAUGGAAUUUGAUCAACAGCAACAAGAUCUUGUUGAUGCCGCAUCAAAAGCUUUAUCUUACAGACAAGACAUUAUGGAAGAAAACCUCCGUCUGACACACUCAUUACAGGCAGCACGUCGAAGGAGAUCAACUUUCGUAUCUUCUUUGUUGCCUCUUCUAUCAGCACAUAACCUGCAGCCUUCUGUUCCCGAUGCUCAAUCAAUUGUUGGCAAUCUGAAGGUUUUGUUUACUCAUUCGCAAGAGAAACUCGCUAUUACUGAGGAGAAACAGAAGAAAUCACAGUACCAGAUUGCUCGGCGUGCUGAAUCUUCAAAUAAUACGGCACAAUCACCUUCUCAUCCUGCUCGAAAUACGCUGAGCCAAGCCAGCCUUGGCAUUGUGCCCCAGCAAGCAUAUUCUCAUGCAGAGUCUCCAAUUUCUUAUCCCGUUCGAGCUAGACGGGAUUGGGAUUUAUUGGCAAAUGAGAACCGUCAGAUCCUCCCAACCAAGGCUGCUCUGACAGACACAGAGCAUGACAAUGCUGGAAGGACCUCUCCUCCAAGAAGCAACCAAUUUACCAAGUAUGGUGUAGCAAAAGAAACUGAGCAUGAAUCUCGUGCUGUACGAUUUAACUUUGAAUCCAAGGAUCAAAACCCAUCAUUCAAGGACCCUGUUGGGGGUGAUGUAACAAAAAAUCUAGAAGGAGCUGAAACCCAAACUUCACGAGAAUCUCCUGCGGAGUGGACUCCUCAAGGCCCACCUCAUUUGGCAUCUGGCCUUGACGGUGGGAACCUGUCUUACCCUUAUCUUCCUACUGUCCUUGAGGAGCCUAGUUCUUCUUUCCCUGAAGCUGUGGAGGAUGACCCACUGCCAGCCAUAGAUGGGCUAAGAAUCACAGGUGAAGCUUUUCCUGGAAGUGAACUUCAAGCAAGUGGGUAUUCCAGCAAUGGGACCACAAGUUGUUAUUUUGAGUGGGUACGCCAUUUGGAAGAUGGAUCGGUAAAUUACAUAGAAGGUGCAAAGCAACCCACAUAUUUAGUUACUGCUGAUGAUGUGGACUCUUUACUAGCCAUAGAGGUCCAGCCUCUAGAUGACAGAAAAAGGAAGGGGGAGAUCGUGAAGGUUUAUGCUAAUGAGCAGAGAAAAAUUACUUGCAAUCCUGAAAUGAAGGAGCUCAUCGAGAAAAUUCUUUCAAUUGGGCAUGUGUCUUAUGAAGUUCUGCUACCUGUUAAAUUUAUAAAUAUGUGGGAUUCUGCCUUAUUGGCAAUAAACAGGGAAGGUUACAGCAUUAAGUAUAAUGGACGGCGUGGUGUUGUUAUGACAGAGAAAUUCCGGCAAGCUACGACUAUCAAUAUUCCAUAUGGGCGUCCGACUGAAUUUUCAAUCCAGUCUGCUAAGGGUGCUCAGUAUAAUCUCAAGCCUGCAAAAAGUUCCCCAUCACGAGAUGCCAUCGUUCUAAUACUGAGGCUGUACAGAAUGAAGGCUCUUGAGAAGAGCAAGGGAAGGAAAAAGGGGAUCUUCUUCAAGUAG
rnacentral:rRNA from 1 species